CCGCAGCUGGAGCUAUCUUAUUACCCUUGUCUUUUGCGCACUUGUUGUUUCCUGGGCGGGUUCGCUCGCCACCAGGACCACCAAAUAAACCUUUUUUAUGCAGUUGCAAUCAGCGUCAGUACAAACAAUGUAAAUCAUUUACAACUUUCAACAACGGAUCUCUUGGUUCUGGCAUCGAUGAAGAACGCAGCGAAAUGCGAUACGUAGUGUGAAUUGCAGAAUUCAGUGAAUCAUCGAAUCUUUGAACGCACAUUGCGCCCUUUGGUAUUCCAAAGGGCAUGCCUGUUCGAGCGUCAUUUGUACCCUCAAGCUUUGCUUGGUGUUGGGCGUUUUUGGCUUUGGUCGCCCAAAGACUCCCCUUAAAGUGAUUGGCAGCCGGCCUUUCUGGUUUCGCAGCGCAGCACAUUUUUGCGCUUGCCAUCAGCAAAACGGCAAUCCAUCAAGCCUCCUUCUUCCGUUUGACCUCGGAUCAAGUAAGGAUACCCGCUGGACUUAAGCAUAUCAAUAAGCGGAGGAA
rnacentral:rRNA from 1 species